UUAUACUAAAAUACAAGUGGGGGGAGGAAUGGUUUGGCCGAUGUGGGACUUAGAAUGGUAUGGCGAGAGCCACACGAUUUGAUUAAGAGGGAAUGACCAUGAUUAAAAGCUGGCGGUUGCCAUUUGUAUCUAGCUGGCGAGCGGCACUUCUUUGCUUUUGUGGACUUGCGUGUUUGUUUUGUGUGGGCUGCACAUGUGUGGCUCAAUUGGCUGCACAUGUGUGGCCCUUUUGUCCAUUUUUGCUCCUUUUCGGUCCGUUUUCACUCCUUUCUUCAACUCGUACACUUUUUAUCUGUUUAUUUAAAAUAUGAGAAAUAAGUAACUAUUUAUAUAGUAAAACUUCGGAAUCGAAAUAAAAACAUAUAAAAUAUAAUAGUGAAUUAACUAAAUAAAUAGCAUCUUUUUAGGUGUAUCAUUAGGUGAGAAGUCAUAAACGGGGCGUUUAUUGAGGGCUUUGAACUAAUACUAUCAUAGUGGAUUCACUCCUGGAUUGGUAUCCCCCAGAGUAGGCUGUUAUGCUGAACUGGGUUAACAAAUAACUGUGUUAUUCUGUUUCGUGCAUUUUAUAUUUCCUUAUUGUUCGUCUAGUUCAGUGUUAAACACAGUGUUGGAUCAUCGGAUCAAACAUACAGUGUUGGAGCAUUGUGUUCAACAUCGUGUUACUAGUGUGCCAGAAUUUCAAUUGGCAUCAGAGCAGGCACCCUGUUCAUGAUUUAGGGUGAGCUCCAGGGAAAAUACUUUCUGGUGAAAUGGACAAGGAAGGAGGAACAGUUUCCAGACCGCCCCUACUGAUAGGGCCUGAGAACUAUGACUAUUGGAAAGCU
rnacentral:lncRNA from 1 species